CGAAAGCCUGACGGAGCAAUACCGCGUGAGGGAGGAAGGCUCUUGGGUCGUAAACCUCUUUUCUCAGGGAAGAACACAAUGACGGUACCUGAGGAAUAAGCAUCGGCUAACUCCGUGCCAGCAGCCGCGGUAAUACGGAGGAUGCAAGCGUUAUCCGGAAUGAUUGGGCGUAAAGCGUCCGCAGGUGGCUAUGUAAGUCUGCUGUUAAAGAGUCUAGCUCAACUAGAUAAGAGCAGUGGAAACUACAUGGCUAGAGUGCGUUCGGGGCAGAGGGAAUUCCUGGUGUAGCGGUGAAAUGCGUAGAGAUCAGGAAGAACACCGGUGGCGAAGGCGCUCUGCUAGGCCGCAACUGACACUGAGGGACGAAAGCUAGGGGAGCG
rnacentral:rRNA from 2 species